rnacentral:rRNA from 1 species
ACCUGCGGAAGGAUCAUUACCGAGUGAGGGCCCUCUGGGUCCUACCUCCCACCCGUGUUUAUCGUACCUUGUUGCUUCGGCGGGCCCGCCUCACGGCCGCCGGGGGGCAUCCGCCCCCGGGCCCGCGCCCGCCGAAGACACACAAACGAACUCUUGUCUGAAGAUUGCAGUCUGAGUACUUGACUAAAUCAGUUAAAACUUUCAACAACGGAUCUCUUGGUUCCGGCAUCGAUGAAGAACGCAGCGAAAUGCGAUAAGUAAUGUGAAUUGCAGAAUUCAGUGAAUCAUCGAGUCUUUGAACGCACAUUGCGCCCCCUGGUAUUCCGGGGGGCAUGCCUGUCCGAGCGUCAUUGCUGCCCUCAAGCACGGCUUGUGUGUUGGGCUCUCGCCCCCCGCUUCCGGGGGGCGGGCCCGAAAGGCAGCGGCGGCACCGCGUCCGGUCCUCGAGCGUAUGGGGCUUCGUCACCCGCUCUGUAGGCCCGGCCGGCGCCCGCCGGCGAACACCAUCAAUCUUAACCAGGUUGACCUCGUAUCAGGUAGGGAUACCCGCUGAACUUAAGCAUAUCA